rnacentral:rRNA from 1 species
GAUGAAUGCUGGCGGCGUGCCUAAUACAUGCAAGUCGAGCGGUAAGGCCCUUCGGGGUACACGAGCGGCGGACGGCUGAGUAACGCGUGGGAACAUGCCCCAAAGUGAGGGAUAACGCACCGAAAGGUGUGCUAAUACCGCAUAUGGUCUUCGGAUUAAAGGAUUUAUCCGCUUUGGGAGUGGCCCGCGUACGAUUAGAUUGUUGGUGAGGUAACGGCUCACCAAGUCGACGAUCGUUAACUGGUCUGAGAGGAUGAUCAGUCAGACUGGAACUGAGACACGGUCCAGACUCCUACGGGAGGCAGCAGUAAGGAAUCUUCCACAAUGGGCGAAAGCCUGAUGGAGCAACGCCGCGUGCAGGAUGAAGGCCCUCGGGUCGUAAACUGCUUUUAUGAGUGAAGAAUAUGACGGUAACUCAUGAAUAAGCACCGGCUAACUAACCGUGCCAGCAGCCG